UACGUAGGUGGCAAGCGUUAUCCGGAUUUAUUGGGCGUAAAGGGAACGCAGGCGGUCUUUUAAGUCUGAUGUGAAAGCCUUCGGCUUUACCGGAGUAGUGCAUUGGAAACUGGGAGACUUGAGUGCAGAAGAGGAGAGUGGAACUCCAUGUGUAGCGGUGAAAUGCGUAGAUAUAUGGAAGAACACCAGUGGCGAAAGCGGCUCUCUGGUCUGUAACUGACGCUGAGGUUCGAAAGCGUGGGUAGCAAACAGG
rnacentral:rRNA from 1 species